rnacentral:rRNA from 1 species
UUGGAGGGCAAGUCUGGUGCCAGCAGCCGCGGUAAUUCCAGCUCCAAUAGCGUAUAUUAAAGUUGUUGCAGUUAAAAAGCUCGUAGUUGAAUUUCGGGAUCAAUUUAUUGGUCGUGCCAACGGUACGCACUGGUACAAUUGGUUUCUCCCUUCUGACGAAGCAUGAUGUCAUUAAUUUGAUGUCGUGGGGAAUCAGGACUGUUACUUUGAAAAAAUUAGAGUGUUUAAAGCAGGCUUUGGCUUGAAUACAUUAGCAUGGAAUAAUGAAAUAGGACGUUUGAUCUUAUUUCGUUGGUUUCUAAGAUCGACGUAAUGAUUAAUAGGGAUAGUUGGGGGCAUUAGUAUUCAAUUGUCAGAGGUGAGAUUCUUGGAUUUAUUGAAGACUAACUACUGCGAAAGCAUUUGCCAAGGAUGUUUUCAUUAAUCAAGAACGAAAGUUAGGGGAUCGAAGACGAUCAGAUACCGUCGUAGUCUUAACCAUAAACUAUGCCGACUAGGGAUCGGAUGAUGUUAAUUUUUUAAUGACUCAUUCGGCGCCUUACGGGAAAC